GUUUUGGGCAACUCUCUUAUCUGCUGCUUGUGUCUUGCGUCGAUGUGAAUCAGCAACAGAAGAUGCAUUCUAUUACAUAGCGCCUCUACCUCCUGCGCCACCAGAGGGCAUUAUCGUGAGUGUUACCCGGAAAGAAUAUUACAUAAAUCACAUUUUGGAAAUAUGGACUGUUCUUUUCGUUUUAUUCGUUACGUUUCGCAUUAACGUGGUAGGUGAAUAUGCACGGCAUUUAUAUAAAUGCAGGGCUUUGCAGGAAACGUAAUAUACAAUAGUCCCAUAAAGGCUAUAUAUACGAUCUUUCGUCUUCGUUCAUGUUGAAUUCGCUGCAAUCUUUCACCUUAAACAAUGUGACUCAAGUUUUUAUGCUGGCUCGAGCUGACGAAGCAUGGUGCCAUAUAACGUAUUAAUUCGUGACUGGUGAUCACGAUCUCUCGUCCUCGUUCACAUUGAACACACUACGAUUCUUCAGCAAGCCGAUCCAGUCCCACUCCCGUUGCUCACCUGGAUCCAUUCGGAAGAAGCUUCAUCUGUGCUCCAGGCGUUGUGCUGUCCUGUGUUGUGUAGUCGUGCCAAAUAGGGUUU